AUUAACAAAUAAUGAACUAAUAAUUAACAGAACUAAAAUAGUAUAGAGAUCUAUACUAUUAUAGAUUAAACUUAAUAUAACAAACAUAUAAAACAAUAUAAUGGUUGAUAAAAUACU
rnacentral:rRNA from 1 species